AAGGGAAGAGAUACUAUCAACCAGGUAAAGGAUUUUUAUUAGCUAUUUUGCCCUGGUACAGAUGUCUGGCGCAAUUCUACAAUGGAGGACAGAAAAAUUCCAUUACAUAAAAAGAUCAAAAGGCUUUUUUUAUUGUUAUUUUGUUACGGGGGCAAUGGUGCAGUUGGGGCAGGGGUUGGCACAUAAUUAAUUUGGAUGGUAGUUGUUACAAGAAGCAAAUUGAAGGAUGCUUAUUUUUGGAUAUUGCUUAUACUUUCAACAUUGUCAUUGCUUAUCUAAAAACACACACACACACAAAACAUAUUGUCAUUGCAAGACUCCGCAAGGAUAAUUUUUAUAACUAACAGAUAUAUUGGGAAUUUAAAGGUUGUCAAAAAUUAUCUUAAGCCAUUUUUUUCCCCCUCUUUCUAAAUGGGAAAGUUCAAUUUAGUUUAUUUUUAACUUUUUUUCCAAAUUAAAUGUUUCAAUUUAAGUUCAAUUUCUUGAUUUCUUAUUGAAAUAAAAAAUCAAGAAGCUCAAUUUAUUGAUUUAUAAGCUAAACUUUUUGAUUUAAGCUUGAAAAUCAUGAAGCUCAAUUUGUUUAUUUUCUUUAAUUUUUUUUGUUAAAUUGAGUUUAAAUUGAAACUUUUGGACUUAGUUGGACAAAAAAGUUGAAAAUGAGUUAGAUUAAACUUCUCUAAUAAGUACAAGGGUGAAAUUGAGCUUUUAAGUCUUUAUCAAAUAUUCAGCCUAAUGCUUAUGAAAAAAAUGAGCAUUUAAAUGGAUGACAUAAAAAAUGUUGUUCACUGCUGCAACAGACAACUUGAGUGAUAUUUUUAUACUUGAACGAAUCUAAGUGCCAUUGUGGCACAUAGAUUCACCAGUUACAAGUUUGUAGAAGAAAUUAUGAAAACCUGGUUUACCCUUUUGAUCUAUGACAUGUGAACUCCUGUUUCAAGCAUGGGUGCUUUAAAUUGUUUCAAGCUUUUUUACCUUCUCCUUUUCUCUGCAGCUUGAAGGACUUCAAGGAAUUUGCUGAUGCAAUUGAUGCAGUUAAGAAUAAAGGGGUUGUGGUUGCUGUAGUUUCGCCGGAGGAUGUUGAGGCUGCCAACAAGGAGUGCUCCAACUAUUUCCAAGUGAAGAAAGCCCUUUAAAGCCCCGAAGGUUACAUUUUCCUCGGGCAAUUAUUUUACUGUAGUACCAUAUACAAAUUGAGAUGCUCAAAUUAAUUUACCAAUUUUUUCAUAGUGCUCAACAAAUUAACAGAUAAUAUAGUUAAGCGUACCAUAUGAAUACUUAGAGGUUAAUCGUAUCUCCAUUGUAAUUUAUGAACUCCUUGAAUCUGAGCUUGGAGCAAGAACCGUUGCAUAUACUCUUUUCAUCUUCACUCUUUAAUAAAAGAAACCAUUCUGAGAGCAUUCUGC
rnacentral:misc_RNA from 1 species